GAUGAACGCUGGCGGCGUGCCUAAUACAUGCAAGUCGAGCGAACAGAUAAGGAGCUUGCUCCUUUGACGUUAGCGGCGGACGGGUGAGUAACACGUGGGUAACCUACCUAUAAGACUGGGAUAACUUCGGGAAACCGGAGCUAAUACCGGAUAAUAUUUCGAACCGCAUGGUUCGAUAGUGAAAGAUGGUUUUGCUAUCACUUAUAGAUGGACCCGCGCCGUAUUAGCUAGUUGGUAAGGUAACGGCUUACCAAGGCGACGAUACGUAGCCGACCUGAGAGGGUGAUCGGCCACACUGGAACUGAGACACGGUCCAGACUCCUACGGGAGGCAGCCGUAGGGAAUCUUCCGCAAUGGGCGAAAGCCUGACGGAGCAACGCCGCGUGAGUGAUGAAGGUCUUCGGAUCGUAAAACUCUGUUAUUAGGGAAGAACAUACGUGUAAGUAACUGUGCACGUCUUGACGGUACCUAAUCAGAAAGCCACGGCUAACUACGUG
rnacentral:rRNA from 1 species